rnacentral:rRNA from 1 species
UACGGAGGGUGCAAACGUUGCUCGGAAUUAUUGGGCGUAAAGCGCACGUAGGCGGACCAUCAAGUCGGGAGUGAAAACUCGGAGCUCAACUCCGAGCCUGCUUCCGAUACGGGCAGACUAGAGGUAGGCAGGGGAGAGCGGAACUCCUGGUGUAGCGGUGAAAUGCGUAGAUAUUGGGAGGAACACCAGUGGCGAAGGCGGCUCACUGGACCGGUUCUGACGCUGAGGCGACGAAAGCGGUGGGGAGCAAACAGG